rnacentral:rRNA from 1 species
AACGAACGCUGGCGGCAUGCCUAACACAUGCAAGUCGAACGAAGCCUUCGGGCUUAGUGGCGCACGGGUGCGUAACGCGUGGGAAUCUGCCCCUUGCUUCGGAAUAACAGUUAGAAAUGACUGCUAAUACCGGAUGAAGUCUUCGGACCAAAGAUUUAUCGGCAAGGGAUGAGCCCGCGUAGGAUUAGGUAGUUGGUGGGGUAAAGGCCUACCAAGCCGAUGAUCCUUAGCUGGUCUGAGAGGAUGAUCAGCCACACUGGGACUGAGACACGGCCCAGACUCCUACGGGAGGCAGCAGUGGGGAAUAUUGGACAAUGGACGCAAGUCUGAUCCAGCAAUGCCGCGUGAGUGAUGAAGGCCUUAGGGUUGUAAAGCUCUUUUACCAGGGAUGAUAAUGACAGUACCUGGAGAAUAAGCUCCGGCUAACUCCGUG